UUCUAAUAUAAUGAAUUAAUUUCAUUCAUGGUAAACCUAAAACAACCCUAGUUGAAUUGUUGGACGUAUAAUAGUUCUCUGCUAAUGAGAGUUAUGAGAAUCAUAAUGCAUAAAAGAAUGGAGAAGCGAAAAAAUCCAAAUGAAUAAAAUCAGGGCUUAAUUCCUAAAAAAUUCAAUACAAAAAAUUGAAUAGAACAUAACAGUAACUACUAGCAUUUGAUUAUUUUUAACACCUUGUAGAAUACCUUAGUAAUUUGAUUACGUGGCUAUUGCUCUCCAAAGAAUGUAGAAC
rnacentral:misc_RNA from 1 species